rnacentral:rRNA from 1 species
GAUCCCUGAAAGAUGAUCAGGUUGAUAGGUCAGAGGUGGAAGCGCGGUGACGUGUGGAGCUGACUGAUACUAAUCGAUCGAGGACUUAACCUA